UAAGUCUGAUUUUUUAUCUUUGGGUUCAUAAACUGAUCUUUGGCUUCAUUUGAAUAAUUGUUGAUCAUUAAGCAUCCAUCUCACUGUGUACGAGUAUAAAAUGUUUAAAUACUAAGUUACUAGUGCUCCUGAGCCAAAGAAAAACAUAUUUGUAUAAGCAUCUCUAUAUGAUUUUAUAGAUUUAGGUAGAUUUAAAGUGGCACGCCUCCAGAUGAGGCAAACUAUUUCAAGAAAAUCAAACUUUAGGAAAAUGUACCGAGAUUUUAUGUACGAAUAAUGACCAGUUUUGCAGUGUUUUUUUUCACCAUAUUUAUACUUCGUAACUUACACAGUAACGGCUAUUUUUACAUAUUUUUGACCUCUUACUAGGUUGUAUGUGUAAAUUUUUUUUUGUUCACUUCUCAAUAUUUUACUUAUUAAUACAUUUUCAAAAUAUUCAUGAAAAUAAGUAAGAAUAUGGAGGCGUGCUGCUUUAAAUUCUAAUGAUUCUGAACAAAAGAAUGAAUGCAUACUGACAAAUGGCGAACUUAAAUACUGCCAAGUUAUUUGCGUGUUUGGACUUAUUUAAUUUUGGUCUUCAUAUAUUACACAAGUAGAUAACAAUUUUUUUAUCUCACUAAUUUCAAUUCCGACAAUCAAAGAUUGUUGAAAAAAGAAAUAUUGCUAAGAGAGUAGAUUUGAUUCAAGUGUGUUGCAUUUUUUUUUUUUGGCAAAACUUGAAUUAUUAUUUCACUUUGAUAGCUAAAUGUAUUUACAAAAUUGGAGACCCUAAAUAUAUUGAUGUAGAUUGUUAUAUCUUGGAAUAUAGAAUUUUAUAUGUAUAAUUGUGUAUAACUAACAUACAUUUGUUUGUUUAACUGUGUGAUAGUGAAGUUUUUCUAUGGUAUAUCCUGUUUUUAUAACAGUAUAUGUAGGUAUAUCCUGUUUUUAUAACAGUAUAUGUAAGUAUAUCCUGUUUUUUUUAACAGUAUAUAUAGGUAUAUCCUGUUUUUAUAGCAGUAUAUAUAGGGAAAGUAAGCCAAAUUAUGUUAGUAAAAUAAAAAUACAUAUUUUGCCUUGAUGAACAAAAAAAUACUUGUUCCUUUCCAUGAAAAUGUUAGUUUUGCAAUAAGGGAGAAAAAUGUGGCAUUAUUUUAAAAUUCAUUUCAUUUAUAAAAAAUCAAUAACCAUGUAGUUUUAUGUAAUUAUUUUAUAGUUAGCAUUGACCUUAGAUUUAUUUUGAAACAUGAUAUUUCCCCUUGGGAAAGAAAUAUGAAUCUACUGCCUAAAACAGAGUAAUCUUGUUUGUAAUCAUACAUUUCUAUAGAAACCAAUAGAUUUGGAUCAAUUUUUAUAUCAUUGUAUAAUAACUUGUUUUUUUUGGUUUUUAUAUGCAUUGAAGAAUUGUUUACAUAAACCCCUAACCUGCUGGUACCGGAAGUGGUUGUCCAUGACAACCAAUUUAGAACGAGGCAAGCUUGCACUUCCAUGUAGUCUGACCAGGCUCUAUACUGUGUGGGGCUUACUUUCUUAAAAAUUUCAUGUCGAUUUUCCAAACAAUGAUAAUUGAUACUUCUAAAAUGGAAGCUGGACAAGGCCAUUUAAGAUAUUCAGCAAUUUAAGUGUUAAACAAAUUUUAACUAAUUUUAACAAAUGUAACAGGAGAACAAGACAUUAUGAUUAAUUGUUGCUCUUGUUACAUAGAGACAUAGGGACUUAUUAAGUCUGUUUAUGCAAAUGUUAGCAUAUAUUUGGUAUGAGUGGUUUUUACAGACAUUUGUUUUGUUACUUUAUUUGUACACUGUAGCCUCUAGCAAAUUACUCUGCUACAUGUAUACAGGACCAAGAUUAUAUUGAUUUCUCUCGUAUUAAAUCAAUAAAAUAUGUAAUGAAAUAUGGAA